rnacentral:tRNA from 1 species
UCUGAAACAGCUCAGUUGGUAGAGCGUCAGACUACAAAUCGUAAGCUCCUUGGUUCAAUCCCCGGUUCUGGCA